rnacentral:rRNA from 1 species
GGCUACCCAUGCAGUCGAGCGGUAGCACAAGGAGCUUGCUCCUGGGUGACGAGCGGCGGACGGGUGAGUAAUGUCUGGGAAACUGCCCGAUGGAGGGGGAUAACUACUGGAAACGGUAGCUAAUACCGCAUAACGUCUUCGGACCAAAGUGGGGGACCUUCGGGCCUCACACCAUCGGAUGUGCCCAGAUGGGAUUAGCUAGUAGGUGAGGUAAUGGCUCACCUAGGCGACGAUCCCUAGCUGGUCUGAGAGGAUGACCAGCCACACUGGAACUGAGACACGGUCCAGACUCCUACGGGAGGCAGCAGUGGGGAAUAUUGCACAAUGGGCGCAAGCCUGAUGCAGCCAUGCCGCGUGUGUGAAGAAGGCCUUCGGGUUGUAAAGCACUUUCAGCGAGGAGGAAGGGUUCGGUGUUAAUAGCACCGUUCAUUGACGUUACUCGCAGAAGAAGCACCGGCUAACUCCGUGCCAGCAGCCGCGGUAAUACGGAGGGUGCAAGCGUUAAUCGGAAUUACUGGGCGUAAAGCGCACGCAGGCGGUUUGUUAAGUCAGAUGUGAAAUCCCCGAGCUUAACUUGGGAACUGCAUUUGAAACUGGCAAGCUAGAGUCUUGUAGAGGGGGGUAGAAUUCCAGGUGUAGCGGUGAAAUGCGUAGAGAUCUGGAGGAAUACCGGUGGCGAAGGCGGCCCCCUGGACAAAGACUGACGCUCAGGUGCGAAAGCGUGGGGAGCAAACAGGAUUAGAUACCCUGGUAGUCCACGCUGUAAACGAUGUCGACUUGGAGGUUGUGCCCUUGAGGCGUGGCUUCCGGAGCUAACGCGUUAAGUCGACCGCCUGGGGGAGUACGGCCGCAAGGUUAAAACUCAAAUGAAUUUGACGGGGGGCCCGCACAAGCGGUGGAAGCAUGUGGGUUUAAUUCGAUGCAACGCGAAAGAACCUUACCUACUCUUGACAUCCACAGAACUUUCCAGAAAAUGGAUUGGGUGCCUUCGGGAACUGUGAAGACAGGUGCUUGCAUGGGCUGUCGUCAAGCCUCGUGUUGGGGAAAUGGUUGGGGUUAAGUCCCCGCAACGAAGCGCAACCCUUAAUCCUUUGGUUGGCCAGCGCCGUCAUGGGCGGGAAACUUCAAAGGAAGAACUGGCCGGUGGAUAAAACCGGAAGGAAAGGGUGGGGAAUGAACGUUCAAGUUCAUUCAUGGGCCCCUUUACGAAGUAAGGGGCUUACCACCACGUGGCUUAACAAUGGGCAUUAUACCCAAAGAGAAAAACCGAAACUUCCCCGAAAGAGCAAGGCGGGACC